AUCCGGCUGACGAGUCCCAAAUAGGUCGAAACUAGCGUCCUGAAU
rfam:Schistosoma haematobium scaffold780_11, whole genome shotgun sequence.